rnacentral:rRNA from 1 species
AUUGAACGCUGGCGGCAGGCCUAACACAUGCAAGUCGCGCGGAUGAAGGGAGGUUGCUCCCGGAUUCAGCGGCGGACGGGUGCGUAAUGCCUAGGAAUCUGCCUGGUAGUGGGGGCUAACGUCCGGAAACGGGCGCUAAUCCCGCAUACGUCCUGUGGGAGAAAUUGGGGGAUCUCCGGACCUCCCGCUAUCAGAUCAGCCUAGGUCGGAUUAGCUAGCUGGUGGGGUAAAGGCCUACCAAGGCGACGAUCCGUAACUGGUCUGAGAGGAAGAUCAGUCACACAGGAUCUAAGAGACAGACCGGACACCUGCGGGAGGCAGGAAUGGGUGAGGAAGAACAGUGGACGGAAGUCUGAUCCAGCCAUGCAGCGUGUGUGAAGGAGGUCUGCGGUAUGUGUAGCAAUUUAAGUUGAGAGGGGGGGAAAGAAGUUAAUGCGUUGCUGUUUGGACGUAACCAACAGAUAAGGCACGGCCUAUCCUGUG